AACGAACGCUGGCGGCAGGCCUAACACAUGCAAGUCGAGCGCCCCAGCGAUGGGGAGCGGCGGACGGGUGAGUAACGCGUGGGAACGUGCCUCUUGCUACGGAAUAGCCUCGGGAAACUGGGAGUAAUACCGUAUGUGCCCUACGGGGGAAAGAUUUAUCGGCAAGAGAUCGGCCCGCGUUGGAUUAGGUAGUUGGUGGGGUAAUGGCCUACCAAGCCGACGAUCCAUAGCUGGUUUGAGAGGACGAUCAGCCACACUGGGACUGAGACACGGCCCAGACUCCUACGGGAGGCAGCAGUGGGGAAUCUUAGACAAUGGGCGCAAGCCUGAUCUAGCCAUGCCGCGUGAGCGAUGAAGGCCUUAGGGUUGUAAAGCUCUUUCAGUGGGGAAGAUAAUGACUGUA
rnacentral:rRNA from 1 species